CCAGGCGGCGCUGUGGGAGCGGGAAUGCGGCGGCCCGCGCCGCGCCGCGACCCCCGGCCCAGCCCCGCGGGCCGCCGGGAGCGCCCCCCCCCCCCCCCCCAGAAAUGAGCCAUUUACGGGGAUUUUGGCGUUUUCUUGCAAAUGGGGAAAAAAAAAAAAAAUGGAGCUAGGAAAACAAUGCGGGUAGAGCUGGGCUGGAAGGCGCCGGGCGGGGCGGGCAGCGGUGGAGCGGGGUCCCGGCGGCUUCGGCCGCGCCGCUCCCCGCCGCCGGCCCGGCUCCGCGCCCCCGCGCCCGCCACAGGGCAGGGGCAGGGGCAGGGGCAGGGGGUCCCGCGCCGGAGGCGAGGCGGCAGAGAGUGCUCCCCCGCCGCAGGAGCCAAAGCAUGCUGCAUGUGAAAGCCAGAGCCGUUGGAGUAGGAAGAACAGCUGAAAUAUCUGUAAUGACAUCCAGUGCUAGAAAGUGCUUUGAAGCUGUAUAGCUGCUGUUUCUUUUCUAUGAUUUCCAAAUGCAGAAGGAAAAAAAAAACAACAAAACAAGAAAUAUCAAUGUUAAAAACAUCAGUCAGUCUAUUUAAUUGUACAAUAGUUGUCUGUGUCAUUUCUUUUCUCUUGUGAUGAUCUAAAGUGAGGAAGGCAAAGCAGAGAAUUUUCUUGAUGGUUAUAAAACAUGCAUUAUUUACUUCUGAGACAAAAAAAAACCCUACAUAGUAUUUGCCAAAGGCCAACAUAUUUAGGUAUUUCAAAAAGUGCAUUUUUACCUAGUUAUGCAUGACUCUUGAUGGUGAGUCUGACUGUAAUGUGGAUCACUGAGAGCCUCUAAAGGGCCACCACCAUUUUUUGUCAUCAUCCAUCCAUCAGUGACACUGUCACUUUGAAAUCUAACAAAAGUUUCCUGAUUUUAAUUUAUUCCCAUUCCUAUCAGGUUGCCAGAAAUACUAUGGAUUCAGCCUUAAAGAACUCGCUGCUCAGACCUUGCUGGUACACUGGGGACUGCAAGUUGCCAUGCCCCUUUUAGGGAGGCCAGUAUAGUCUUUGGUGAUCUGCUUGGCCAGUUUUGCCAGUCAGUGUAAGAAAAUACUGGUUUGCGUGAGUUUUAGCUUUCUCAGCCAUAAGGUGUGACAUAAAGACUGGGAGCAGGAUCAAUCCCCAGGGCUGGCAGACCCCAUUCUGAGCUGAGUGCUCUGACCAUUGCACACAAGCGCCUCCUGAAGUAACGCCAACAGAUGCUAACACAAGAUACCCCUACAAUAGAUGCAGACUGUGAACAUGUAAUGCUGCGCUCUCUCUCUGAUAUAUUGCGUCUGGACCUUGUAACAAUCAUGACAUUCACUCCAUGGCUAUCACUUAAUGUGUGUUUUAUUGUGCAUUUGAGAUCACAACUUACUCCAUGGGAAGUGGUAAGACUAUCUGCCAAAGGCCAGAUUCUGCUUUCUUGAGUUAAAUAAGCAGGUUCUUGAGCUGACUGCAGUAGGAAAGGUACUCCUCAGCAUGAGCGGAGCCAGGAGAACAUGAAACCCUCAUCCUGCACUUAGUUCUGCAAGCUCCAGUGAACACAGAGAGGCUGUGCAUGGCCACUGGUUACCAUCAAAGGGCUGGGGUAGACAUUGGUACAUGUGUUGAAAUAGCAAGAUUUAUGUAAUAUUUCACUAUUCUUACUAUUUUACUAUUUCAAAGCACUGAAAAUACUUCGAGGAUUUUUUCUGGUACUGUCCCACAUUUCCCCUUUCUCAUAUAUACAAGUGCUAGUUUAUAACACGCCAUAUCAGCUAAUGAAUUGGAAAUCAAGGGCAUAUCUGCAAGAACAUUUAACAGCAAAGUAGGUGGGCAAGAACUACAAAUCUCACCUGUUGCUCUGCCCAGUGACCCAGAGAAGAGAAAAUAGAAAGAAAACUGCUGCCAGUUGUAUGCCCAAAUAAAAAUACUAAAAUACAAAGCUGCUUACAAAUGUUUCAUAAUAAAAUCCUGUCCUGAUAAUAGUUUUUGUUUUAAUUUUGUGCCUAUUUGUAACUUCAAUGUAUCCAAACCAUUUUCAUUCAUUGUUAAAGAUGUAUUUCUUCUUGUGACUACACCUAGGUAAAGCAAAAUUAAAGCUUUCUAAAACAUAAUUGUCUGAAAGGGGGAAAUGUUGAUACACUUUUAACUAUAGCCCCAUGACUGACAUCUCUAGCAUGUUGAAAUAAAUACACAAAGUUAAUCGCUA